rnacentral:misc_RNA from 1 species
CCAACAGGACUUUUUAAGCUCUGCGUACUGUCAUAGAUAGCUAAGGUUCGAGUAAGCUGCAAAUGAAUGACCUUUUAUCAGAAAUGUACCAUAAUAUAAGCCAUAAAACUAAGUAAAUAACAGUCUGUCAACUACGACUUGAUUUAUGAAGAACUCAUGUCUCCACCAGGACCAUUAAUGUAUAAAUAGAUCCUCUUGGAAUCAUCAACAGUAUCAAGUACAACAUUGUUGCCAAUAUUUGGUUGCUAAAUUCUUCAUCUAUAUUU